CGAUAAAUGGCGCCGCUUUGCAAAACGUGCACCUAAAACAGGACCACAUGACCCUCGGCGUUAGCAGGCCUUCCUGACAGCAACCAGCCUUCCUGACAGCAACCAGCCUUCCCUCGUUGCUGGUUGAGUUUCCGGAAGCGGGUGUCAGGCUCUUCCGGCAUAUAAUCUCAGACUACUCGAACUACAUCGGCUUAGGAACAGACUUUUGUCGCUGAAAAGAAUUUAGUCGAAGUAGCCUAUUCUACAGUUGCCCAUACGUUAACCAGGAACAAGCGGAAUUCGGGCUUGAUCUCCAGCUUAUCCAGCUAAGCUCGUUUGGUACACACAACGUCUUCCCGUUCCUCCUAUAGCCGCAAAGGAACCGAUCAGGCGAUCCGUCUUUCUUUGGAAAAAAACUGCUGUAGAGUCGUUCUUCGAAUUCGUCGUAUGUGCUUGUUUCCCGCACACGCGAGUAAAAGCACACUUGGAUCGUUUCUCGUUCAGAUCUGCGAACAGUCCAACAUUCAUAGUUAUCAUGGAGAGCAGCGCAGUUUCCAAGUUCAAGCAGAAGCCCGGUCAACGCUGUCCUUGAACAGAUAUAGCCCAGCUGAAUACACGAUUGACUGCCAUAGAGAUAUUGGUCGUUCUCAUCCCCACUCGCUAUUUCCACUGGCAGACGCUUGCUUCUACGAUUUCUAGAAAUCAGCUCGUGCUUGCCAUAACAGAAGAGGGUAACAUCGUCAAUAUACGUCUACGACGAAAACAAGAAUUUAUUCCACGACCCUUGCUGGA